UGCUACGUGCUGCUAGCGGUGC
rnacentral:misc_RNA from 1 species